rnacentral:rRNA from 1 species
UAAUUGAAGAGUUUGAUCAUGGCUCAGAUUGAACGCUGGCGGCAGGCCUAACACAUGCAAGUCGAGCGGUAACAGAAAGUAGCUUGCUACUUUGCUGACGAGCGGCGGACGGGUGAGUAAUGCUUGGGAACAUGCCUUGAGGUGGGGGACAACAGUUGGAAACGACUGCUAAUACCGCAUAAUGUCUACGGACCAAAGGGGGCUUCGGCUCUCGCCUUUAGAUUGGCCCAAGUGGGAUUAGCUAGUUGGUGAGGUAAUGGCUCACCAAGGCAACGAUCCCUAGCUGGUUUGAGAGGAUGAUCAGCCACACUGGAACUGAGACACGGUCCAGACUCCUACGGGAGGCAGCAGUGGGGAAUAUUGCACAAUGGGCGCAAGCCUGAUGCAGCCAUGCCGCGUGUGUG